rnacentral:rRNA from 1 species
AAUGGAGAAGAACUCUGACGCAGCAAUACCGCGUGAGCGAAGAAGGUCUUCGGAUCGUAAAGCUCUGUUAUCAGGGAAGAAGAAAAUGACGGUACCUGAUGAGCAAGUCCCGGCUAACUACGUGCCAGCAGCCGCGGUAAUACGUAGGGGACAAGCGUUGUCCGGAAUCACUGGGCGUAAAGGGCGCGCAGGCGGUGAUUUAAGCAGGAUGUGAAAGGCUACGGCUCAACCGUAGACAUGCACCCUGAACUGGGUCACUUGAGUAUUGGAGAGGCAGGCAGAAUUCCUGGUGUAGCGGUGAAAUGCGUAGAUAUCAGGAGGAAUACCGGAGGCGAAGGCGGCCUGCUGGACAAAUACUGACGCUGAGGCGCGAAAGCGUGGGGAGCAAA